rnacentral:tRNA from 2 species
GCGAGCGCGGCACCCAGCUUCCCAUGCUGGAUGUCGUGGGUUCGAAUCCCAUCGCCCGCU